AUUGAACGCUGGCGGCAGGCCUAACACAUGCAAGUCGAGCGAGCGGCGGACGGGUGAGUAAUGUAUGGGGACUGCCCGAUAGAGGGGGAUAACUACUGGAAACGGUGGCUAAUACCGCAUACUAUCGGAUAACCCAUAUGGGAUUUGCUAGUAGGUGGGGUAAAUGCUCCCCAAGGCGAUGAUCUCUAGCUGGUCUGAGAGGAUGAUCAGCCACACUGGGACUGGGACACGGCCCAGACUCCCAGGGCGGCAGCAGUGGUGAAGAUUGCCCAAUGGGCGCAGGCCUGAUGCAGCCAUGCCGCGUGUAUGAAGAAGGCUUUAGGGUUGUAAAGUACUUUCAGCGGGGAGGCGUUACCCGCAGAAGAAGCACCGGCUAACUCCGUGCCAGCAGCCGCGGUAAUUC
rnacentral:rRNA from 1 species